CUACUACGGGAGGCAGCAGUAGGGAAUCUUCCACAAUGGACGCAAGUCUGAUGGAGCAACGCCGCGUGAGUGAAGAAGGCUUUCGGGUCGUAAAACUCUGUUGUUGGAGAAGAAUGGUCGGCAGAGUAACUGUUGUCGGCGUGACGGUAUCCAACCAGAAAGCCACGGCUAACUACGUGCCAGCAGCCGCGGUAAUACGUAGGUGGCAAGCGUUAUCCGGAUUUAUUGGGCGUAAAGCGAGCGCAGGCGGUUUUUUAAGUCUGAUGUGAAAGCCCUCGGCUUAACCGAGGAAGCGCAUCGGAAACUGGGAAACUUGAGUGCAGAAGAGGACAGUGGAACUCCAUGUGUAGCGGUGAAAUGCGUAGAUAUAUGGAAGAACACCAGUGGCGAAGGCGGCUGUCUGGUCUGUAACUGACGCUGAGGCUCGAAAGCAUGGGUAGCGAACAGGAUUAGAUACCCUGGUAGUCCAUGCCGUAAACGAUGAAUGCUAGGUGUUGGAGGGUUUCCGCCCUUCAGUGCCGCAGCUAACGCAUUAAGCAUUCCGCCUGGGGAGUACGACCGCAAGGUUGAAACUCAAAGGAAUUGACGGGGGCCCGCACAAGCGGUGGAGCAUGUGGUUAAUUCGAAGCACGCGAAGACCUUACCAGGUCUUGAAUCUUUUGAUCCCUGAGAGAUCAGGUUCCCCUUCGGGGCAAAAUGACAGGUGGGUGCAUGGUUGGUCGCCAGCUUCCGUGUUCCUGAGAAUGUUGGGUUAAGGUCCCGCAACGAGGCGGCNNAACCC
rnacentral:rRNA from 1 species